rnacentral:misc_RNA from 1 species
GAUGAAGAACGUAGCGAAAUGCGAUAAGUAAUGCGAAUUGCAGAAUUUCCGUGAGUCAUCGAAUCUUUGAACGCACAUUGCGCCCAUUGGCAUUCCGAUGGGCAUGUCUGUUCGAGCGUCAUUAUCCUCCCUCAAACCCCUGGGUUUGGUGUUGGACUGUGUGGUGCCUGGCACCACUGGUCUCAAAGACAAUGACGGCGUCCGUGGGACCCUCGGUGCAACGAGCUUUUCGAAGCACGCGUCGAGUGGACAGUCUCUCCGGGCCGGUCACCUCUCCAAUUUUUCUCAGGUUGACCUCGGAUCAGGUAGGAAUACCCGCUGAACUUAAGCAUAUCAAUAAGCGGAGGA